UGGGGAAUAUUGGACAAUGGGCGCAAGCCUGAUCCAGCCAUGCCGCGUGGAUGAUGAAGGCCCUAGGGUUGUAAAGUCCUUUCGGCGGGGAAGAUAAUGACGGUACCCGCAGAAGAAGCCCCGGCUAACUUCGUGCCAGCAGCCGCGGUAAUACGAAGGGGGCUAGCGUUGCUCGGAAUCACUGGGCGUAAAGCGCACGUAGGCGGCUUUUUAAGUCAGGGGUGAAAUCCUGGAGCUCAACUCCAGAACUGCCUUUGAUACUGAGAAGCUUGAGUCCGGGAGAGGUGAGUGGAACUGCGAGUGUAGAGGUGAAAUUCGUAGAUAUUCGCAAGAACACCAGUGGCGAAGGCGGCUCACUGGCCCGGUACUGACGCUGAGGUGCGAAAGCGUGGGGAGCAAACA
rnacentral:rRNA from 1 species